rnacentral:rRNA from 1 species
UACAGAGGGGGCAAGCGUUGUUCGGAAUUACUGGGCGUAAAGGGCGCGUAGGCGGCCCGCUAAGUCGAACGUGAAAUCCCCAGGCUUAACCUGGGAACUGCGUCCGAUACUGGCAGGCUUGAAUCCGGGAGAGGGAUGUGGAAUUCCAGGUGUAGCGGUGAAAUGCGUAGAUAUCGGAAGGAACAUCAGUGGCGAAAGCGACUUCCUGGACCAAUACUGACGCUCAUGUGCGAAAGCGUGGGGAGCAAACAGG